UAGGGAAUCUUCNCUUNAAUGGGGGCAACCCUGACCGAGCAACGCCGCGUGAGUGAAGAAGGUUUUCGGAUCGUAAAACUCUGUUGUAAGUCAAGAACGAGUGUGAGAGUGGAAAGUUCACACUGUGACGGUAGCUUACCAGAAAGGGACGGCUAACUACGUGCCAGCAGCCGCGGUAAUACGUAGGUCCCGAGCGUUGUCCGGAUUUAUUGGGCGUAAAGCGAGCGCAGGCGGUUUGAUAAGUCUGAAGUUAAAGGCUGUGGCUCAACCAUAGUUCGCUUUGGAAACUGUCAAACUUGAGUGCAGAAGGGGAGAGUGGAAUUCCAUGUGUAGCGGUGAAAUGCGUAGAUAUAUGGAGGAACACCGGUGGCGAAAGCGGCUCUCUGGUCUGUAACUGACGCUGAGGCUCGAAAGCGUGGGGAGCGAACAGGAUUAGAUACCCUGGUAGUCCACGCCGUAAACGAUGAGUGCUAGGUGUUGGAUCCUUUCCGGGAUUCAGUGCCGCAGCUAACGCAUUAAGCACUCCGCCUGGGGAGUACGACCGCAAGGUUG
rnacentral:rRNA from 1 species